rnacentral:tRNA from 1 species
AACUGGCUAGUCUAUAAGUUGGACGUUUAUUUUGAAAAUAAAAGGUAACAACCAAUUAAUUGUUGCUAGUUU